rnacentral:rRNA from 1 species
GACGAACGCUGGCGGCGUGCUUAACACAUGCAAGUCGAACGGAAAGGCCCUGCGUUUGUGGGGUGCUCGAGUGGCGAACGGGUGAGUAACACGUGAGUAACCUGUCCUUGACUUUGGGAUAACUUCAGGAAACUGGGGCUAAUACCGGAUAGGAGCUCCUGCUGCAUGGUGGGGGUUGGAAAGUUUCGGCGGUUGGGGAUGGACUCGCGGCUUAUCAGCUUGUUGGUGGGGUAGUGGCUUACCAAGGCUUUGACGGGUAGCCGGCCUGAGAGGGUGACCGGGCACACUGGGACUGAGAUACGGCCCAGACUGCUACGGGACGCAGCAGUGGAGAAUAUUGCACAAUGGGCGGAAGCCUGAUGUAGCAACGCCGCGUGCGUGAUGACGGGCUUCGGGUGGUAAACCGCUUUCGCCUGUGACGAAGCGGUAGUGACGGUAAUUGGUAAAGAAGCACCGGCUAACUACGUG